GCGGUGGUGAUCGGGGAGGCGGAUGGGGUCUUCGACGAGGGCGCGGGAGGCGGACGCAGUGAGUUGGAGGUUGGCGUCCUUGAUGCGGGUGAAGGACUGGGAGAGGAGGAGGACCUUGCGGUUCAUGUGAGUGAGAUCGCGGUCGCGGAGGUAUUUCUUGAUGGCGCGGCGGAGGGAGAGGGGGAUGAGGUGGAUGGCCUCAGAUUG
rnacentral:misc_RNA from 1 species